CUGCCCACCUUGGCCUCCUAAAGUGCCGGGAUUACAGGGCAUUGCACGUGCUCCCUGGCCUUUUGCCUUCUUUGAUGUCAUUACCUGCCUGAGCCUUUGCUGAACCUGAGCGCCGGUGAUAGAGAAGUGCCUUUUGUUUUGAAGAAGCCUGCCCUGAGAGAGAGAUAUCAUUGACUUUUUGCUCCCAGAAGACUGGCUCCUUUCUUCCCUCUUGAAGCCUGGGUUCUUGUUGGACCUGCAGUGAAGUUUAUGGUGGCAAGUAGAUUUCAAUACCUGAUUGAUUGAUAGCUGUUGCCUAGAAGGAAGGCUGUGUGGAAAAGGAUUUUCAGGUUGCACCCGGGCUCAGUGGGAAAGAAGGCUGCGGUUGAUUGGGACUGCUCUCAUGAAAGGGACCAAGGAAGAUGAGGAGGAUGGUGGAAUGAGUGGAGUAGACCAGCUUUGCCUGCUGUCCUCUGUGGACUCAAGUUCACAGGUGCACCCUUUUCUGGAGCGCCGUCCUUGGCCAAAUGGGAGCUGCUUCCCCAUGGAGACUGUGCUCUCACCUCUCCUUCCCCAGUGGCAGACCUCAGCUGAUGACUGACGAGCAUGGGGUAAAAGGGCAAUUCUCUUGCUUCAAGCGUAAGACGUGGCUCUGCUCCUCCUCGUCUUCUGCCAAGAUUGUGAGGCCUCCCCAGCCACGUGAACUGUGAGUCCAUUAAACCUCUUUUUCUUUAUAAACUAUGCAGUAUCAAGUAUGUCUUUAUCAGCAACGUGAGAACAGACUCAUACAGCUUCCCUCAACCCCCCUCUUCAAGUAUACCACCCUAAAAAAAAGCUUUAACAAGGGUCCUCAUAUCAGGCUCUGUUUUUUGAGGAGCCUGACCUGAGACAUUUGGUAUUGAGCAUGGUCCUAAAAAGCAAACAAACAAAACAGAACAAAAAAAAAAGCAAAAAAGAAAAGAAAAAAAAAAAAAAGCAGACACCAAGUGUGGGUUUCUAGAACUGGAUUGCAAUGAAGCGGGUAAAGUGCUGAUGGUUCCUGGCAGGCUGUAGCAGUGGGAUUGCUAACACCUUUACCUAGGAGAACUGGAAAGGGGCUGUACCAGCUGGCCCAGUGUCUUGGGAAUUGGGAAGAUGUCUGCUAGGGCUGCCGUAAUAUCACAGACUAGGUGGCUUAAACAACAGAAAUGUGUUUUCCCAUAGUUUUGGAGGAUGGAAGUUUGAAAACAAGGUAUUGGCAGGUUUAGUUUCUCCUGAGGCUUUCUCCUUGGCUUGCAGAUGGCUGCCUUCUCACCGUGUCUCCAGAUGCCCUUUCCUCUGUGCAUACGUCCCUGGUGUCUCUUCCUCUUCUUGCAAGCACACCAGUCAUAUUGGAUUAGCGUCCAACCCUUAUGACUUCAUUGAAACUUAGGGACUUUAGAGAGGUGAUUAUCUCUAAAUACAGUCACAUUGGAGGUUAGGGUUUCAACAUAUGGAUUAGGGUAGCAGGGUACAAUUCAGUCCAUAAUAGGAGCUUAGGGAGAUAUCACUAUACAGACCGUGGAACUGGGUGGGUUUUGCUAAGCACUACUGAUUUGUUGAAGAGAGAAAAUGGCAGGCUCAAAUCUACUAAUUAACAAUUUAAAGCAAAGUACUAGGCGUUUAAAAAGACCUUCCAUUCCUACAGACAGGGGCAGGCAGAGCUAGAAACCAGGCUCAGGGUGUAACUGUAGAAGUGGCAGAACUUCAAAGAAGACUGAAUUCUCAGCCUAGGUGAGUCACCUGUGCUGACAGCGGGGCUGUGACACAGAAGGUGUGGGACACUGACACUUGGGAUGGGACUAUCUGGAUAGCUGUGCUUGAGAACUGAAUCCUCAGAGUUUCCUGGACCUUUUGGGCCUGCAUAAAUGGCCCACUGCCAUUUCAAGCAAGCAGAGGACUCUGCUUGCUUGAAAAUGAUGCAGAGACCUUACAUGAGGCCUUCUAACAGGCCAGUGCAUGCCUCUGGAUUUGCCCCCAUCUCCCCACCUGGCCACCAGAUCACAAAUUGGGGUCAAAUCUCAGCAUAGACAGACUGGGGAAGGGUCUGCUGAGGGAUUAGAGGAUUCUCUCCGAAGCUGCAGGACCUGGCUACAAUACAGUGGGGCCAGGAACGAGGGGUGGAUCCAAAGGACCUAGAUUGGGGAGGGGGCCAGAAUAUAAAGUUGGAUAGGGAGAGUUUUCAUGGCAGGGCACUCUCCCAUGACACAGGAUAGAACAUCCUGGUGAGGGCCCCAAGUUCUGCUUCUAAUGCACUGCUGAGAUGGCCCUUGGAAGCUUGGAGAAAACAUUGGCCCACAUUAAACAAAACAGAGUUGCUGGAACUGCCAUGGUCAACUGGGCAGAAAGAGACUAAAAGGCUCAGAGAAAUGGGCAUGCUAGAGUGGGCCUGUUAUCUAAUACUAGGAAAUCUACUCUCAAACUGUUUCUCAGGAAGGCCUGGAGAUCACUCAGUUUACUAGGGUGAUUAGGAAUGUGUCAGUGAGGGACACCAGUGUCAGCAGAGAGGUUUGGGUAGGAUUGAAGAGAUUGUAUUUCAGAAUUUCUACUAGGCUCCCUAGUAGAAAUGGUAAAAAUCCCAGCACAGAAGAGGCCAGGUGGUAGCAUCUAACUGUCAGAAGCACGGUGGGUAUAAUUACUGUAAGGGGCAGCAAGGUUGCAGCAGCAGCUAGGAGAGCCCAGACUAAGAGAUUUCUGGAAAUAGUACAUAAAUCAUGGUGUUCCUAGAGGUAAAAUAGAUGGGCAGCUAGCAAAGAUACUUGUGUGUGUGUGUGUGUGUAAACUCAUAAGAGAUCAAGAAUGAAUGAACAUAAGACCGUCUUCAACCUUUCUAACAGAAAGUCAAGCUGCCUUGCUAGUUUCCAGAACUGAGCCAGUUCUCAAACCCAGCGCUCAUUGACCAUUGAUUAAAGGGGAGGCCAAGUUCCCACAAAGACAAACCCUGCAGUGCCAUACUAAGUGGGCACAGUAGUGAUUCCCCCAGUUCUAUAGGUCCCCAAAUGACCUAUAGUUGUUUACUCACAUAACCAGGCACUGGAAAGAGGAAAUACCCAGAGCCUUUUGAGGUCUGUUGGAAAAAAGUUCUGAGUUGAUGCUGAUGUUUGGGGACACAAGCACAAUUAUGACACUCCUGUUAGAGAGGUCAGAGGGGACCUGGCGAUAGAUGGAGUUCUGGCCCUGGCAUGUCUCAAAAUGGUCCACCUAGUGGUCAUUUCUCUGGUUCCUGAAAUAUAAUUGGAUUGGACAUGUUUAGCAAGAGAUACAACCUUUACAUUAGUUCUUUGACCUAUAAGAACUAUUGAAUAGGAAAGGCCAGUAGAAUGUACUGAAAGUUUCCUCUCUUCACCAGGAUAGUAAAUCAAAAACCAUGUCACAUUGCAGGGAGGAUGGCAAAGAUUAGUGCUUCCCUAACUGGUUUAAAAGAUACUGAGGAGGUGGUUCCUGUCAUUGUAUGGGACAGGGUUGGUGAUAAACCCCAGAGACUUAGGGUACUGCCACAUCAUUGAAGUUUUUAAGGAAUUAAUAGCCUAGGGAUAGCCCCUCCCCAGGACAAGUUAUUACUCCUUGUACCUCCUAUCAUUAAGAAAUAAGCAUAACACUUAGUUGGCUUCUCUGUGUUCUGGAGGCAGUAUAUUCCACUCUUAGAAAUUCUGCUUCAAUCCCUUUAUCAGGUGACAAUAGAAGUUCCCUUACAUGGACAGUGCAAGCUAGGUCAACCCACCAGGCAAGUCCCUUAGACCAGUAGAAACGCUAGCUACAUGUGAGGGGAAUCUAGAAUAGGUGGAGGUAGAAGAUCAUGAACAGCAGUCAUAGCCUUGGGAACAUGCAGCAGGGCUGUGGUUUAAUCUAUUAACCUUUCUUUUGCACCAACCUAAUGUGUCUCCAAGGAGACUGUGAUCUGUCAGAAUUCUGAGGAUGCUGUGUCUGGGUGGCGUGAACUUAGUGAAAGAAGAAAGUAGAUAGGAGCUGUGCAAAGGGUGAACUGCAGUAGACGCUACUGGUGCCCAACCCAGAUGCUCUUCAGCCCCUGCAGAUACUGGCCAGCUGGCUUGGGAGACCACAGUCCCUGGGAGUUUAUCUCAGACAAUGAUUGACUGUCACAUGCGGGACAAAGGUCCCCAAGGUGGGUCUAACUCUUGGAUGAGGGGCGGUGAUUUAGAGUUCUUGGGUAGAGCUUGCCCAUGGGAUCAGAAGCAAGUCUAAAGCUACUUUUAGCUGAGACACAUUUUCACUCAGCUCCCCGUCUCUCCUGCCUUCUCCUUCCCCCUCACUCCUAAGAGUACAUCCUCCAAUCAAUCUUCCUCAAUAAAUCACUUGGGCAAGAAUCCCUACUCAGGAUUCGCUUCUAGACAAUAUACACAUGUGUGUGUGCAUUUGUUAUUUUUAAUACAUAAUACCUCUUUCUUCAAUGCCACCAUCCAGUGUACACCUCACAAAUCCAGUUGUCACAUUUGCACUCCCUGAAUCGUGUUCAUUGACUACGUGACCCACAGAUAUCUAAGCCCAAUUUACUGUAUGGUCUCUCAUACCUCAGUUAACUAAUUCCAAUCUACAUUUUUUGAAGGAUGGAAAACUUUUCACUAGGAAGAUUUUACCAGUUCAAACUGAGUCAGAGGAGUCGCAUCACAUAAAUGAACUUCAACUUCCUGAAUUUCAUCAUAGAAAGUCGGAGAGAGAGAGAGGGAGAGAGCCUUUUAUUUACCUAUUGUCCUCUCUUCCACAGUUCAAAAUCAAAGAGAAAUAAAAGGAAUUAAUUUUUUGGGUUUUGAGCUUCUGAGAGCCCAGCUCUUGUAGAUUUUUAAGGAUUUUCAAGGAGAAUUUUGACAAUAUCUCUUUUUCCCUUGCAUGUUUGAUUUUAAAGCAGGCUUUCCUGCUUAAGGUAAAACUCAACUGUGAUAAACUAUUGAAUUAUUCCAUAACCUAGACUCUUCAUUUCAGAGUAGGCUUCCCCACUUUGGUCUGGAUUAGUGAAGUUUGACUACAUGUGGACAGCAAAUGAAUUGCAAAUCAUAUGUAAAUGUGUAUAAAUUAGCACCAGUUAUUAGAAUAAUUUGCAUUUACAGCUCUGUAAUUAGGCAGCAGCCUGGGAGAGAAGGGCAGUGGGCAAGGGACCCAGGAAGCUGGGAAGGCAGCCCAGAAGUCCUGGGGUCCCCACCUCUAUGUUAAUGAGGCUCAGUUUUCCCUUCCCUAGGCCCCUUAGCACAAGACCUUGGGGAUCUAAAACCUGUACCUUGGCUUUUGGAUUUCCAGUUCUUGCUAAGAUUCUUCACUGCUGCUGCUCAGGGGCCUUGACUUCUCCGGCUCAGUGUAGCACAGUGAGAGGUCAGGGGAUUUGGAGCAUCGAAGUCUUAGAUCUAUUGCUUUCAGGGUAACUUUGGCCAAAUUACUCUCUGAUCCUUAGUUUGCUCAUCUAACAAUGGGGUUUAUAACAAAAACUUGCCCCCAUUCUAUCACCCAGUACUAUGGGGUUCACAUGAGACUCUGUAUGUGACCCUUACUAGCCUUUACAUGCAUUUGUUAUUAUUAUAACAGCUGAGUUCAUCUAACUAACACAUGGUGGAUCCAGGAUUUAAACAGAUUUGUCUGGCUUCACAUCACGUUUGUAUCACUGUGUCCCAUGGUCCCAGCAGGUAGCAUGCAUGAAGAACAGUUUAUUCCCACACCAUCCACUCUCCUGGCCCUGCCUGGCCUCCUGCCUCACUUGGGUGCAGAUCUCUGGUGGCCAGGGAUGGGCCCUUAAUGCCUUUUGCACUCUAUCCUUAAAACACUUCCUGGUAGAAUGUACUUUGGUGAGUACCCAGCUCUUGGAGCCCAUGUGUGUCUAUAAGUUUAUCUUAAGCAUUUCUCUCGCUUUCCCUUUAGCCUGGAACAAGAGAAACAGCAUAAAGCCCUUACCCACUUCUCUGCAGCCGCCCUUGGAUAACCCCCGCUUUAGUUGAAUGAGGGUAGCUACAGAGGCACAGGGAGUUGGAAAGAAUGUGUGAUGAAAGCAUGAUCACCUACUUGCCUGUGGAAUGAAUCAGAUAAUAUUUUUAAAGAAAAUUUGCCACUUAUUGUUAUGAAAACACGUUUGUGCUCUGAACCCAGCCUGGAGGAUGCUCAGACGGGGAAAGGUACUGAGGGCUGGGGGUCAUCCCCAAGCAGAUACUAGAGAAAGAUCACAGGAUCUAGGUUAAGAAUCAAAUACUGGUUCCUGCUCUGGGAACUUGUAAGCCUUCUGAGCCUUCUUGUACCCUUCACAGAGUGACUGUGAGGAUGAAAUGGGAUUUUAGAUGUAAAAGGAAUUUGCUGUCAUUUCAUUAUUAUCAAGAACAUGCAUCACAGACCAAUCAGAUCUUCAGUUCCUGCCCAUCCCUUCAUCCCUCAACACACAUGCCAUGUGCCAGUGGUAGAGAACUGCUGGUCAUUCCAAUAAUCUUUAUUCAUGCUGCCAUCUUCCCUCAAUGGCUUUUCCUGCUUCAUUUGCUUGGCCAGUGUCUACUGAUUAAUUCAUUCAAUGGUUGGAUGUUUAUUGAGUACCUACUAUAUGUGAACCACUAUGAUGGACACAGGUGACACAAAGGUUAACUAAAGAAAAAUGGUUCCUGUGCUCAUGAAGCCUAUAUUUUCUGAACCAUUUAAUACUCAGCUUAAAUAUGAAAGCCCUUUCUUGACAUCUGUUCUCCCUUAAUAGUUUGAAGCACCCCUCCUUUUUGCCCUGCCAGUGUCUAAGGUUGUCUGUCCUAGUGCCUUUAACAUUGCACUAACUCUUGCACAUUCUACUCCCUCUCUCCUCUUGCCUUCUUCCUCUUCACUUUGCCUUAUCUCUUUCCUUUCUUCUGCUGUCUCCUCCCUCCCUCCUACUGGUAGCCAUCUUCUUUGUCCUUCCUUGGAAUUUCUGAGGCCAAUCCUUGAAAUGAGAAGGUGACUACUUUCAAACAGAUAAAAGAAAGCCCUUCUUUUCCCAGCAGAUAAUUAAUUUCUGUCACUUGCUGGUCGUGGAACAUAAUUGAGGCCAAGGGCUUAAGAAGGCCCUGAGAAGGAAUUAGACACAUAGUCACACCAGGGGGAACGUAUCACUCACUCUGCUUCCCCAUCCCUGGAGGGUGAGGUCAGCGAGCCCUGCCCUGAGCUAGGUAGCAAAGAGCUUCUCAGCCUAUUAAGGGGCCUGGCCAGGCACAGUGUUCACUUACCACAUAGUGAGCAGAGGUAGUUUUCUGGCACCAGAGAUGUGUAGUCAAAGGAACUUGCCACAUAGUGAGCAGAGAUAGAGCUUUCUGGAACCAGAGGUGUGUAGUCAAAGGAUAGAUGCAGAAUAAGACUGAAGUCCCAAAUUCAAGUCCCAGGUCUGUCAUUUUGCUAGCUAAAUGAUUCAGACACAUUUCUUCACCUCUCAAAGUCUCCAGUUCCUUGAAACCCAGGGCUCCUGUGUGCUGCUUCUCCCUGGGCUGCGAGAGGCUCAGGAACUGUAGUAAGCUUGGGAGGGUGAGAGAAGAAAAAAGGAAAGAGAUAAGGCAAACAAGGGAAGGAGAGGGCAAGAGAGGAGAGAGGGAGAAGAGUGUGCUAGAGUUAGUGCAAUGUUGACAGCUCCGCAAGUGUAGACAUGAAGGACUGAGUGCUCUGUGGAUACUCAUGAUAUUUCAUCUUUGGGCAUAGUGAAAGGCUAGACACUGGAGAAGAGAGAAUGUGUCCCAGAAACUUAAAGUCUGACAUUGGUCUUGGCUACAUGAAGCAUCUUGCAGGCAUAGGGUAAUCUCAGGUGAGAUCCUGGGAGCGGAAGUGAUCUCAGCAUCCCCUAGUUCCAUGCCUGCAUCCAGCACUAACCAGCUAUGAGGUCUUGGCAAGUGCUUUUUCCUUUCUUGACUCUCAGUUUCUUUAUCUGCAAAAUAGACAUUGGGGGUUGGAGCAAGGAAAAUUGUACGUGAUCAUGAUUUUGUAAAGCCUAUUCCUCGGAACAUCAGUGAAAAAAUUUAGGGAAAAACAAAUUCCAGGGGAAAAAAGAAUUCAACAAAAAAUUUGAGAAAUGCUCCAUAAUAUAUACAGAUAAUCAGAGUGCAGAUUAGCAUAUUGCAUCUCUUGAAAAUCCUAUAAUAGGGAGAACUGUUUUUA